rfam:Gossypium hirsutum cultivar TM-1 chromosome 8, whole genome shotgun sequence
AACCCAUGGUGAGGGCAUCUUCUUAAUAAGUCCUUGUAUCUCUCCCAUGCUCCAUAAAGAGUUUCUAGAUCCUUCUGCACAAAAGAAGAGAUAUUAUUCCUCAAUUU